UACGGGGGGGGGCAAGCGUUGUUCGGAAUUACUGGGCGUAAAGGGUUCGUAGGUGGCUAACUAAGUCAGACGUGAAAUCCCUCAGCUUAACUGGGGAACUGCGUCUGAGACUGGAUGGCUUGAGUGCAGGAGAGGAACGCGGAAUUCCAGGUGUAGCGGUGAAAUGCGUAGAUAUCAGGAGGAACACCGAUGGCGAAGGCAGGUCUCUGGGCCGAUACUGACGCUCAUGUGCGAAAGCGUGGGGAGCAAACAGG
rnacentral:rRNA from 1 species